GGCCAGACUCCUACGGGAGGCAGCAGUGGGGGAUAUUGCACAAUGGGGGAACCCUGAUGCAGCGACGCCGCGUGGGUGAAGGAGCGUUUCGGCGCGUAAAGCCCUAUCGGCAGGGAAGAAGGAGGGCGGUACCUGACUAAGAAGCCCCGGCUAACUACGUGCCAGCAGCCGCGGUAAUACGUAGGGAGCAAGCGUUGUCCGGAAUUACUGGGUGUAAAGGGAGCGUAGGCGGGGACGCAAGUUGGGUGUCAAAACUACCGGCUCAACCGAUAGUCGCACUCAAAACUGCAACUCUUGAGUGAAGUGGAGGCAGGCGGAAUUCCUAGUGUAGCGGUGAAAUGCGUAGAUAUCAGGAGGAACACCGGUGGCGAAGGCGGCCUGCUGGACUGCGACUGACGUUGAGGCCCGAAAGCGUGGGGAGCAAACAGGAUUAGAUACCCGAGUA
rnacentral:rRNA from 1 species